rnacentral:rRNA from 1 species
UACGGAGGGUGCAAGCGUUAUCCGGAUUUACUGGGUUUAAAGGGUGCGUAGGUGGGUCUGUAAGUCAGUGGUGAAAUCUCCGAGCUUAACUCGGAAACUGCCAUUGAUACUAUAGGUCUUGAAUUAUCUGGAGGUAAGCGGAAUAUGUCAUGUAGCGGUGAAAUGCUUAGAUAUGACAUAGAACACCAAUUGCGAAGGCAGCUGGCUACAGGGAUAUUGACACUGAGGCACGAAAGCGUGGGGAUCAAACAGG